rnacentral:rRNA from 1 species
AUUGAACGCUGGCGGCAGGCCUAACACAUGCAAGUCGAGCGGAUGACGGGAGCUUGCUCCUUGAUUCAGCGGCGGACGGGUGAGUAAUGCCUAGGAAUCUGCCUGGUAGUGGGGGACAACGUUUCGAAAGGAACGCUAAUACCGCAUACGUCCUACGGGAGAAAGCAGGGGACCUUCGGGCCUGGCGCUAUCAGAUGAGCCUAGGUCGGAUUAGCUAGUAGGUGAGGUAAUGGCUCACCUAGGCGACGAUCCGUAACUGGUCUGAGAGGAUGAUCAGUCACACUGGAACUGAGACACGGUCCAGACUCCUACGGGAGGCAGCAGUGGGGAAUAUUGGACAAUGGGCGAAAGCCUGAUCCAGCCAUGCCGCGUGUGUGAAGAAGGUCUUCGGAUUGUAAAGCACUUUAAGUUGGGAGGAAGGGCAGUAAGCUAAUACCUUGCUGUUUUGACGUUACCGACAGAAUAAGCACCGGCUAACUCUGUGCCAGCAGCCGCCGCCGUA